rnacentral:rRNA from 1 species
GGUCUCUAUCUGUUGUGGGCGCAGGAAUUUUGAGUGGACCUGACACUAGUACGAGAGGACCGUGUUGGACUGACCGCUGGCGUACCGGCUGUUCCGCCAGGAGCAUCGCCGGGUAUCCAAGUCGGGAACAGAUAAGCGCUGAAAGCAUCUAAGUGCGAAGCUGGCCACAAGAUAAGAAUUCCAUAUAGGGUAGUUAUAGACGAUGACAUUGAUAGGCUGCAGGUGUACGUGGGGUGACCCAUUCAGCCGAGCAGUACUAAUCACCCGAACACUUCUUUUC